UACGUAGGGUGCAAGCGUUGUCCGGAAUUGUUGGGCGUAAAGGGCUCGUAGGCGGUCCAUCGCGUCGGGAGUGAAAAGCUGGGGCUUAACCCCAGUCCUGCUUCCGAUACGGGUGGACUAGAGGUAGGUAGGGGAGAACGGAAUUCCUGGUGUAGCGGUGAAAUGCGCAGAUAUCAGGAGGAACACCGGUGGCGAAGGCGGUUCUCUGGGCCUUACCUGACGCUGAGGAGCGAAAGCAUGGGGAGCAAACAGG
rnacentral:rRNA from 1 species